rnacentral:rRNA from 1 species
UACAGAGGGUGCGAGCGUUAAUCGGAAUUACUGGGCGUAAAGCGUGCGUAGUCGGCUUCUUAAGUCGGGUGUGAAAUCCCCGGGCUCAACCUGGGAAUUGCAUUCGAUACUGGGUCGCUAGAGUUCGGUAGAGGGAAGUGGAAUUUCCGGUGUAGCGGUGAAAUGCGUAGAUAUCGGAAGGAACACCAGUGGCGAAAGCGACUUCCUGGACCAGAACUGACGAUCAGGCACGAAAGCGUGGGGAGCAAACAGG